ACGCUAGCGGCAGGCUUAACACAUGCAAGUCGAGGGGCAGCGCGGGGUAGCAAUACUCUGGCGGCGACCGGCGGAAGGGUGCGUAACACGUGAGCGACUUGCCCGUCACAGGGAGAUAACCGGCGGAAACGGCGACUAAUAUCCCAUAUGAUCCGAUGCUACAUGGCGUCGGGUUGAAAGAUUCAUCGGUGACGGAUAGGCUCGCGGGACAUUAGCUGGACGGCGGGGCAACGGCCCACCGUGGCGACGAUGUCUAGGGGUUCUGAGAGGAAGAUCCCCCACACUGGAACUGAGACACGGUCCAGACUCCUACGGGAGGCAGCAGUGAGGAAUAUUGGUCAAUGGGCGGAAGCCUGAACCAGCCAUGCCGCGUGAAGGAAUAAGGCCCUAUGGGUCGUAAACUUCUUUAGACGCAGAGCAAUAAGGUCCACGUGUGGAUCGAUGAGAGUAUGCGUAGAAUAAGCAUCGGCUAACUCCGUGCCAGCAGCCGCGGUAAUACGGGGGAUGCGAGCGUUAUCCGGAUUUAUUGGGUUUAAAGGGUGCGUAGGCGGCAAGGUAAGUCAGCGGUGAAAGACCAGGGCUCAACUCUGGAAGUGCCGUUGAUACUGUCUGGCUAGAAUGAUUCCGCCGUGGGAGGAAUGAGUAGUGUAGCGGUGAAAUGCAUAGAUAUUACUCAGAACACCGAUUGCGAAGGCAUCUCACGAGGGGUUUAUUGACGCUGAGGCACGAAAGCGUGGGGAUCGAACAGGAUUAGAUACCCUGGUAGUCCACGCAGUAAACGAUGAUGGCUAACUGUCGGGCCUACGGGUUCGGCGGCCAAGCGAAAGCGAUAAGCCAUCCACCUGGGGAGUACGACCGCAAGGUUGAAACUCAAAGGAAUUGACGGGGGCCCGCACAAGCGGAGGAACAUGUGGUUUAAUUCGAUGAUACGCGAGGAACCUUACCCAGGCUCGAACGGCAUCUGAAUCGUCCAGAGAUGGGCGAGUCUUCGGACAGAUGUCGAGGUGCUGCAUGGUUGUCGUCAGCUCGUGCCGUGAGGG
rnacentral:rRNA from 1 species